UACGAAGGGGGCUAGCGUUGCUCGGAAUCACUGGGCGUAAAGGGCGCGUAGGCGGCUGAUUUAGUCGAGGGUGAAAGCCCGUGGCUCAACCACGGAAUGGCCUUCGAUACUGGUUGGCUUGAGACCGGAAGAGGACAGCGGAACUGCGAGUGUAGAGGUGAAAUUCGUAGAUAUUCGCAAGAACACCAGUGGCGAAGGCGGCUGUCUGGUCCGGUUCUGACGCUGAGGCGCGAAAGCGUGGGGAGCAAAC
rnacentral:rRNA from 2 species